AUUGAACGCUGGCGGAAUGCUUUACACAUGCAAGUCGAACGGUAACAGGUUAAGCUGACGAGUGGCGAACGGGUGAGUAAUACAUCGGAACGUGCCCAGUCGUGGGGGAUAACGUAGAGAAAUUUACGCUAAUACCGCAUACGAUCUAAGGAUGAAAGCGGGGGACCGUAAGGCCUCGCGCGAUUGGAGCGGCCGAUGUCAGAUUAGGUAGUUGGUGGGGUAAAGGCCUACCUAGCCGACGAUCUGUAGCUGGUCUGAGAGGACGACCAGCCACACUGGGACUGAGACACGGCCCAGACUCCUACGGGAGGCAGCAGUGGGGAAUUUUGGACAAUGGGCGCAAGCCUGAUCCAGCCAUUCCGCGUGCAGGAUGAAGGCCCUCGGGUUGUAAACUGCUUUUGUACAGAACGAAAAGGUCUGGGUUAAUACCCUGGGCUCAUGACGGUACUGUAAGAAUAAGCACCGGCUAACUACGUGCCAGCAGCCGCCGCCG
rnacentral:rRNA from 1 species